UCUGAACAGCCAUGCCGCGUGCAGGAAGACAGCCCUCUGGGUCGUAAACUGCUUUUAUUCGGGAAUAAACCUACUUACGUGUAAGUAGCUGAAUGUACCGAAGGAAUAAGGAUCGGCUAACUCCGUGCCAGCAGCCGCGGUAAUACGGAGGAUCCAAGCGUUAUCCGGAUUUAUUGGGUUUAAAGGGUGCGUAGGCGGCUUAUUAAGUCAGGGGUGAAAGACGGUGGCUCAACCAUCGCAGUGCCCUUGAUACUGAUGAGCUUGAAUGAACUAGAGGUAGGCGGAAUGUGACAAGUAGCGGUGAAAUGCAUAGAUAUGUCACAGAACACCGAUUGCGAAGGCAGCUUACUAUGGUUUUAUUGACGCUGAGGCACGAAAGCGUGGGGAUCAAACAGGAUUAGAUACCCUGGUAGUCCACGCCCUAAACGAUGAAUACUCGCUGUUAGCGAUAUACAGUUAGCGGCUAAGCGAAAGCGUUAAGUAUUCCACCUGGGGAGUACGCCCGCAAGGGUGAAACUC
rnacentral:rRNA from 1 species